rnacentral:rRNA from 1 species
ACAACCUAGUGGCGGACGGGUGAGGAACGCGUAAGAACCUACCCCUAGGAGGGGGACAACAACUGGAAACGGUUGCUAAUACCCCAUAUGCUGAGGAGUAAAACGGUUUAUACCGCCUGGGGACGGGCUUGCGUCUGAUUAGCUUGUUGGUGAGGUAAUGGCUUACCAAGGCGAUGAUCAGUAGCUGGUCUGAGAGGAUGAUCAGCCACACUGGGACUGAGACACGGCCCAGACUUCUACGGGAGGCAGCAGUGAGGAAUUUUCCGCAAUGGGCGAAAGCCUGACGGAGCAAUGCCGCGUGGAGGAUGAAAGCCUGUGGGUCGUAAACUCCUUUUCUCAGAGAAGAAGUUCUGACGGUAUCUGAGGAGUAAGCAUCGGCUAACUCCGUGCCAGCAGCCGCGGUAAUACGGAGGAUGCAAGCGUUAUCCGGAAUGAUUGGGCGUAAAGCGUCUGUAGGUGGUUUCAUAAGUCCACUGUUAAAGAUCAGGGCUUAACCCUGGGCAGGCAGUGGAAACUAUGAGGCUUGAGUACGGUAGGGGCAGAGGGAAUUCCCGGUGUAGCGGUGAAAUGCGUAGAGAUCGGGAAGAACACCAAUAGCGAAAGCACUCUGCUGGGCCGAAACUGACACUGAGAGACGAAAGCUAGGGGAGCAAAUGGGAUUAGAUACCCCAGUAGUCCUAGCCGUAAACGAUGGAUACUAAGUGCUGUCCGAUUCAAACCGUCCAGUACUGUAGCUAACGCGUGAAGUAUCCCGCCUGGGGAGUAUGCUCGCAAGAGUGAAACUCAAAGG